AGCGAAACGGGAAGAGCCCAAACCAACAAGCUUGCUUGUUGGGGUUGUAGGACACUCUAUACGGAGUUACAAAGGACGACAUUAGACGAAUCAUCUGGAAAGAUGAAUCAAAGAAGGUAAUAAUCCUGUAGUCGAAAAUGUUGUCUCUCUUGAGUGGAUCCUGAGUACGACGGAGCACGUGAAAUUCCGUCGGAAUCUGGGAGGACCAUCUCCUAAGGCUAAAUACUCUCUAGUGACCGAUAGUGAACCAGUACCGUGAGGGAAAGGUGAAAAGCACCCCGGAAGGGGAGUGAAAUAGAACCUGAAACCGUGUGCUUACAAGUAGUCAGAGCCCGUUAAUGGGUGAUGGCGUGCCUUUUGUAGAAUGAACCGGCGAGUUACGAUUUGAUGCAAGGUUAAGCAGUAAAUGUGGAGCCGUAGCGAAAGCGAGUCUGAAUAGGGCGUUUAGUAUUUGGUCGUAGACCCGAAACCAGGUGAUCUACCCUUGGUCAGGUUGAAGUUCAGGUAACACUGAAUGGAGGACCGAACCGACUUACGUUGAAAAGUGAGCGGAUGAACUGAGGGUAGCGGAGAAAUUCCAAUCGAACCUGGAGAUAGCUGGUUCUCUCCGAAAUAGCUUUAGGGCUAGCCUCAAGUGAUGAUUAUUGGAGGUAGAGCACUGUUUGGACGAGGGGCCCCUCUCGGGUUACCGAAUUCAGACAAACUCCGAAUGCCAAUUAAUUUAACUUGGGAGU
rnacentral:rRNA from 1 species